rnacentral:rRNA from 1 species
AGGACGAACGCUGGCGGCGUGCCUAACACAUGCAAGUCGAGCGGAGUCGAUCGACGGAAGCCUUCGGGCGGAAGAUGGUUGACUUAGCGGCGGAUGGGUGAGUAACGCGUGGGCAACCUGCCUCGAAGACCGGGAUAACAGACCGAAAGGGCUGCUAAUACCGGAUGUGGUCAAGGAUCCGCAUGGAUCUUUGAUUAAAGGGGAAACCCGUUUCGAGAUGGGCCCGCGUCCUAUCAGCUAGUUGGUGAGGUAAAAGCUCACCAAGGCGACGACGGGUAGCCGGCCUGAGAGGGUGACCGGCCACACUGGAACUGAGACACGGUCCAGACUCCUACGGGGGGCAGCAGUGGGGAAUCUUCCACAAUGGGCGAAAGCCUGAUGGAGCGACGCCGCGUGAGCGAAGAAGGCCUUCGGGUUGUAAAGCUCUGUCUGGAGGGACGAAGGAAGUGACGGUACCUCCGGAGGAAGCCACGGCUAACUACGUG